rnacentral:rRNA from 1 species
GGGGAAAGCUUUAUGCGCCAAAAGAUGAGCCCGCACUUGAUUAGCUUGUUGGUGAGGUAAAAGCUCACCAAGGCAACGAUCAAUAGCUGUCUUAGAGGAAGACCAGCCACAUUGGGACUGAGACACGGCCCAGAGUCUUACGGGAGGCAGCAGUAAGGAAUCUUGCACAAUGGGGGAAACCCUGAUGCAGCGAUGCCGCGUGAGUGAAGAAGGCCUUUGGGUUGUAAAACUCUUUCGUCGGGGAAGAAAAUGACUGUACCCGAAUAAGA